rnacentral:rRNA from 1 species
GAUGAACGCUGGCGGCGUGCUUAACACAUGCAAGUCGAACGGAAAGGCCGAAGCUUGCUUCGGUACUCGAGUGGCGAACGGGUGAGUAACACGUGGGUGAUCUGCCCUGUACUUCGGGAUAAGCUUGGGAAACUGGGUCUAAUACCGGAUAUGACGAUCUCUUGGAUGGGGUUGUGGAAAGCUUUUGCGGUAUGGGGUGAGCUCGCGGCCUAUCAGCUUGUUGGUGGGGUAAUGGCCUACCAAGGCGUCGACGGGUAGCCGGCCUGAGAGGGUGUACGGCCACAUUGGGACUGAGAUACGGCCCAGACUCCUACGGGAGGCAGUAGUGGGGAAUAUUGCACAAUGGGCGCAAGCCUGAUGCAGCGACGCCGCGUGGGGGAUGACGGCCUUCGGGUUGUAAACUCCUUUCGCAAUCGACGAAGCCUUUUGGUGACGGUAGGUUGAGAAGAAGCACCGGCUAACUACGUG